rnacentral:rRNA from 1 species
GAUGAACGCUGGCGGCGUGCCUAAUACAUGCAAGUCGAACGCAUAGCGAAAGGUGCUUGCACCUUUCAAGUGAGUGGCGAACGGGUGAGUAACACGUGGACAACCUGCCUCAAGGCUGGGGAUAACAUUUGGAAACAGAUGCUAAUACCGAAUAAAACUUAGUGUCGCAUGACACAAAGUUAAAAGGCGCUUCGGCGUCACCUAGAGAUGGAUCCGCGGUGCAUUAGUUAGUUGGUGGGGUAAAGGCCUACCAAAACAAUGAUGCAUAGCCGAGUUGAGAGACUGAUCGGCCACAUUGGGACUGAGACACGGCCCAAACUCCUACGGGAGGCUGCAGUAGGGAAUCUUCCACAAUGGGCGAAAGCCUGAUGGAGCAACGCCGCGUGUGUGAUGAAGGCUUUCGGGUCGUAAAGCACUGUUGUAUGGGAAGAACAGCUAGAAUAGGAAAUGAUUUUAGUUUGACGGUACCAUACCAGAAAGGGACGGCUAAAUACGUG